UCUGUUUCUUCCUUCUGUUUCAGUUUAGCUACUUCACAACCUUUUCUUUUCUUUUUCUUUACAACACAAUUUACAACGGUGGUAAAGAGUGCGUUGCAGGCGAUCCGUGAGAGGGGUCUCCGUACUUUCUUAAGGGAGCUCAAGGAUGAUGGCUUCACGAAAUGCUUCUUCGAUGGAAACCUUCUUGUGAUAUUGCUUCCUACUGAAGCGGCUUGUUUGAUUGCUUCCUCCACCCACAGUUGAUCGUAUUCUUUUCACACAAUCACUUAAUGGCCCGUCUGCCUUUAAUUGCACAAAGUGUGAGGCGUAAAAGAAUUGGUAUUGCAGUGACAAUAUGGUUGGAAAUCUGUAGAAUUGCGAUUUGGUUCUUAUUUAGAAUGGGUGCCAGCCUUAGCCUACAUAGUUAUAGACCAAGGAUUAGGUCCUAUACCUUAGAUUUUUAUGCACAACGGGAUUAUGUGAAGAGGCUUGUAUAUGCUAGUGACGAGACUUGUAUUGAACAAGUUAGGAUGAAUAGAACUGCCUUUU